rnacentral:rRNA from 1 species
AUUGAACGCUGGCGGCAGGCCUAACACAUGCAAGUCGAACGAGUGGCGGACGGGUGAGUAAUGUCUGGGAAACUGCCCGAUGGAGGGGGAUAACUACUGGAAACGGUAGCUAAUACCGCAUACCAUCGGAUGUGCCCAGAUGGGAUUAGCUAGUGGGUGGGGUAACGGCCCACCUAGGCGCCGAUCCCUACAUGGUCUGAGAGGAUGACCGGCCACACUGGAACUGAGACACGGUCAAGACUCCGACGGGAGGCAUCAGUGGGGAAUAUUGCACAAUGGGCGCAAGCCUGAUGCAGCCAUGCCGCGUGUAUGAAGAAGGCCUUCGGGGUGUAAAGUACUUUCAGCGAGGAGGCGUUACUCGCAGAAGAAGCACCGGCUAACUCCGUGCCAGCAGCCGCGGUAAUAC